rnacentral:misc_RNA from 1 species
UAGAGAACCUCAAAACCGCUCUUAGAAUGGUGAAGCCUUCUGCCUUCUGCUUCCUGCUUCUCCUCCUCUUCUUUACGUCUGAUGAAAAAUUGGUGCUCAAGGCAGAAGGGAAGGAUUGCCACAAAGUUUGGAACUGCAAAGGAGGCAACCGUUGCUGGGAGGAUUGCAGAAACAAAUAUAAUGGAAUGGGACAAUGCGAUUUGUACACUGCACCCCCUGUUCCCAAGCAGUGCUUUUGCGCAUACAAGUGCUGAUCAAUCAUCUUUACCCUAAUUAAUAUCUACCUAAGGCUUGAAAUUUGAAAUUAAAUAAAACUUGGAUUUGUUUCAGACAUGUUUACAACUAGAAGCUCAUAUAUAUAUAUCUCACUUAUGUUAAUAUUGUAAUCAACUUUG